CACACACACACCUCCGCCCGAGGUGGGCGGGGAGGGAGAAAAACGAAUGGGGCGCGUGCAUAGAAGGGGGCGGGGACUAAGGCUAAACAUACUCAGCUCCUUCAACCGUUCCUCAUAAGGCUUGUUUUCCAAGCUUGUCUUUACGUUAUUGAGCAUGCCCUCUUCAAAAUUACCAAGACAACAGUUCAGCAAUU